UACGUAGGGGGCAAGCGUUGUCCGGAAUUAUUGGGCGUAAAGAGCUCGUAGGCGGUUUGUCGCGUCUGCUGUGAAAUCCCUCGGCUUAACCGGGGAACUGCAUCUGAUACUGGAUGGCUUGAGAUUGGGAGAGGGAUGCGGAAUUCCAGGUGUAGCGGUGAAAUGCGUAGAUAUCUGGAGGAAUACCGGUGGCGAAGGCGGCAUCCUGGACCGACAUUGACGCUGAACGGCGAAAGCUAGGGGAGCAAACGGG
rnacentral:rRNA from 1 species